UGCAGAAGCGGCAGGGCCCGAAGCGGCCCCGAGACCCCGGCCCCGGGGACAGCCCCGGCCGGGCCGGCAGCUCCCCGCCAGUGCCGGCAGACCCGUGCGGCGGCGGGCAGGGGUGGCUCCCCUCCACUGAUCCUCCGUAACCUGAAAUACCCCCGAUCCUCUUCCUUUUUAGAGAAAUCUACCGUCACGCCGAGGUUUGUUCAGUUUCUCUCCAGCAGAUCGCAGUGACUGCAAGCGAGAUCCAACCGAGUGUGAUACUGUAAGAGAUUGCACUGAAGACUGAACCUACCAGGAGGAUUCCUGAGGAAACUUCUCAUCUCCAGGCUGUGCAACUCCACUCCAAGAGAAAGGAAGGGCUGUGAACAGCUCCUAAAGGAGGGGCAUUUGUUUGAGAAUCUCCUCCAAUUCCCCUGAGAAAAUGCAUUUGGCAAAAUUCUACUUAAUUCUGGAUUACUCUUUCUCACUGUUGCUGAAAAUCAAUCUUACUUCAUUCAGCCUGGUGACAACAUCCAGACUGACAUUGCCUAGAAAAUACCAGGACAGUGUGCUGUGUGAUGUGUCAUGGGCAGAUUGCACAGCUGCCCCGAACCGAGCUGGGAUUCCAAAAGAGUCACUUUCUGCUGAAAUAAAGGCCUUUUGCAAACACAAGAGCUAGUGAACAACUAGCCACAAGAUGCACGGUAGUUUAGCACAGGAAAUAAGCUCUUAUGUAAGUGGAAGUGCAGGAGGACAUUAGGUAACAGAGAAGUGAGGCUGGGUCUUCACCAAAAUAUCAGUACUCUAAGAAGCAUGCUGACAGCAAACUCUGCUGGAUUUUUCACUGUACCUUCACAGCACCUCCUCCAUACCUCACCAAAAAUACUGCUGUUUUGCCAGAGCAGUGCCUUCUGCACCAGGUCUGUGAGAGACAUGGACCCUGCUGCCCACAGAGUCACUUCCUGCCUCAGGCUGUGCUAGCUCCUGCCAGCCCAGCAGACCGUACGUGUGACAGCGUGGCCAUCGCCUGACGGGCCUGAGAACAAAUGUCCACCACCCAAAGCAGCUACUGCUGGGCAGGCAGGAGCACCUGCAGUGGGGCUCCUGCAGCAGGGAGGCUGUCCCACUCACAGACACCAUCACAGCUCUAUGGAAGCUGCAGCUGCAUUGCAGCUCUUUUUUCCUGCCAUUUCAAAGCAGAAGUCUUGUUGCUGUGUGUGACCUCUUAAAAUCACUCAGAGUGUUUAAUCCUUUGUUCAAUUCACAGAAGUUCUAUCCUGUUUUGUUCUUGCUAAGUGAAGGAAAAUCUAAACUUACCCUUAUCUGCUGCAACUGUAAAAUUCAAGGAUGCCAUCCUGCUUUCUUUCCCAGCUAUGGCCUUGUCACUCAGGCAUCAUGUCCCACAAUGAUUAAUAUUUUACCUGGCAAAUGGAUGCAAGCUUUUUGACACUACUCUCCUCCCUGGCAAUUGGUCCAUUUGGGUUUUCUAGAAUGAAAACAAAGGCAUGCUGUCAAAAGCCAACCUAUACUCUCUGUGAUAAUAUGGUACAUUUAAAAGAUUACUGCAAGGUUAACUCAUGGCAGUUGUUUAUCUUCUGGAUCACCUUUUCUCCAAUCAGAACUGCAGCUGUAAAUCUGGAGAGGUCUGUUCUGUAUUAAAAGAUAUAAGAAUUAGAAAAGUAAGAAGCUCAUUUCAACAGUUCUUCAGAAUCCUUGGAUAUUAUUUUCUUCUUAGUGAUCAAGAAACUAAGCCAAGUAUUUGAAGGAAAAGUUCAUUUUUGAAGUGAGAGUUGGUUAAGGGCUGGGAGGUGAAAGGGCUUUGAUGGUGGAGAGGAGGCAGCAGUAGGUGUUUGCUGAGACUGGUUUUAUUCAACAUCUUCAUUCACAGCCUGCAGAAGGGAGAGUGCACAAAAUCUCCAGGUCUAUGGAUAUUCCUGACCUCCCCAGGGCAGUCAAAUGCUGCCAAUAACAACAUCCUGCAGGAUCUCACAAAACUGAACAAAAGGCACACUGUUGGCAGAGGAGUCUCAGUAUAAAUGUAGGGUAACACACUUCGAGGGAAGUAAUCCAAACCACAGCUCUUUGACGCUGAUGAUGGAUCUGGCUGUCAUGGCCCAGGAAAGAAGCCUGAAGUGACUGAAGUCGCUGUUAAGAGCUGCCUGAGAUCAUCAGCCCAGUGUGCAUCUGCAGCCAAAAAAAGCCAACACAUUUUUGGGAAGCAGCAGGAAGAGCAUUGAGGGCAAGACAAAAGGUGUCACUUUGUUGCUCUGUGUACCCUCAGCACGACUUAUACUGAGUCCAGCUUCCAUGCCUGGUCUCUCAGAGAAUAGGAACAUACCAUUAACUAUCAGUAUGAAAGAUUAAACCAUGAUUUGUGGAGAGCCUGAAUAGCUGAAACAGGCUUUAGCUGCCUCCAGUCCUAGCAAACAACAAUGCCAGAUGUGUGUGCUUUGACAUCUUUGAAAAUGAAGCUGAGCUUCUAUCAGAAACAGAAACUUGAGAUCAAAGUCUUUGGUACCAUCUCCUGAUCUCAUGGCUUACAUGCAGAUACAGAUCCUCCCUUUGUCCUUCUAAAAAGGGAUUUUUUUCCAAGUACAGAGUUGUAUCACUAUCAGGGGUUGUUCAGGGUUUACAAAUGCAUGUUGGCAUUUGGAUUUUAUCAGUUACAUCCUAAUGCUUUAGGAUAAGCCCAGAACUUGACUUAAGGUGAUUAGCAUGCCAAGAGAUUUAUUUAAAAUGCCUGUUUGUCUUUCCUUAGAGGUGACAUAGAUUGGCUCCACCUACAGUAAAUUAAACACUUAUUUAUUGAUUAAACCCACUGGCAUUAAAAAAGUCUGUUCUAUAAAAUGAUAUUCUACUGCCAAAAUUUAUUUGCAAAACAGUCACAACCCCUAAAAUGUAAUUUAAGCUACACAGCUGUUAGAGCCAAGAAUGAGAUUGAAAGAACAAACUGUUUGAAAAGGGCAUAAAAUUUACUAAUUACUGCAAUGGAAAGCUGUGCUGGCCGUUGUGUUGGUACCAGAAUCUUGAGCAAGAGCCCUGGCAGUGAACAGACAGUGCAUCUUGAACAUGUCUUACCCAUGUAUGGUGAUAUUUUCCAGCUGUAAAAAAGUAUUUGAGAAAAGUUAUGCAGUGUGACCAUAUCAUUCAUUUUGCUGCCUGUUGCCAGCUAACUCGACUGAACAGAACAAACAUUGCAGUUACUGAGCAGACCCUUGGAGUACACUGGUUUUUGAAUGCUUUAUACAUUAAAGAUGUCAUCUCUGGGAGGCUCAGGAAGCUUUUUUGCACAGGCUACUCCUGGAAAGAGAAGACACUUUUUUUGGUGUAAGUCUACCACACAUACACAAACAGCAAAAGAAAACUGCAGUCUGCAUGACAAAAAAGGAUGCAGAGUAGAGUGGAUAAAGGGCAGUGCAAUGUCAAAUAGGAAAGAGGGAUGGCUGAGUCUUCAGCUAGGAAAAACAUAACAAGAGACAUGAUCUAUCUGUGCUUAUGUGAGAACUUCGUAGCUUCUGCUUCUCCUUCCUUUUCUGAAGGGAACAGAAGUUGCUUGAGAAGCCAGGUAAAUCCCUUCCUACCACUCCAAACUGCAUAUGGGCAAGGUGGACAGAUGCACUGCACCCUGCUUUGCUAGUCCUGUAAACCUGGUGUGAUUUUACUGACUUCUUGGGGCAUACCAAUAAAUAUUCCUUCUAUUUAUUACAACUGCCCAUCUAAUUAAACAUCUUACAAAGUGGGGUGUGGAGGAACAGGGACUGUAAUGACACGCACCGCACUGGUGUGUGCUGCUUUCUGUCCAGCACUGUGGGAUUUCAGCUGAGGAAGGAAAACCCCAGGAAGAGAUGUCUGCUCAAACAUAUAACCCCUUCAACUCUGAGCAGCACGGCUUUAGCUAACAGAAUUGUUACUUGUUACUUUUUAUGGCUCUAUUAGAGUAUACAAUGAAAUGCGACAUAGCAUUGUGUCAUUUGAUUUACCCCUUUUUGCUACCAUGUAGUACUGUUACAUGAAUCUUCCCUAGCUUAUGCUGUCCUCCCAUCCACAUUUUUUUCUCCCCUUUCCUUCUCUCUCUUCCCAAAUUUAUUUUUAUGUUACUUAGUUUUUAUUCAGCUGUUCUCUGUAUUAGCCUCAGCAUCAGGCAGCUUGGAAAUCAUCCUGCCAAGAAAUGCACUACACACCCAAGCAGCUGAAGAAAACAAGCAUCAGAGAGCUUCAAGCAGCAGGCCCAGGUACCCAUUCUAAAUUAAUCAUGGCUCUAGGAAAAUAAUUAUGACAGUGCAAAACAACAAAGCCACUCAUCAAUGCAGGAAAACCAUGGCAGAACAAGCCUGGAUACAGAGAGCAAAUGGGGGAACAGGUACCCAACACUGCUGGACUGAACACGUCUGCCUAGGCUGGAAGAGCGAUGGUGAACACCAAUAAACUCAACUUCCUGGCAUCCUCUCUGUCCACAGGCAAGGGGGAGAUUGUGACUGUCCACCUAAUACAGUCAAGGCUCAGCGUGGGUUUGGUUAACCUUGAAGCUUCAGGAGUUGAAACAAAAGCCAAAUUUAGCAUGAGACUUCCGAGUCCAGGGUGGCUAAGGAGAAGCCAGCUGACAAGGUUCCUCUGCAAAACCAAUGUUUAGUUUCAUGCCUACAUUCUUAUCCUUCCUGCUAUUAUAAAAUGUUCUUCCGUUUCUUGGGAGUGAGCAGCUGUGAUACAACAGUGACUCACGCUUCCAUGUCUUCAGUUGCAUUGCACUGAAAGGAAAAUCCAAGUCCAACUGCUGCACAACUGCACCAGUUAAGUUUUACAGACCCCAACAGCACCAGAGAACGAGGCGCAAACAGCAACAGUAUGGUAAUUUUAGCAGGCCUGCUGUCAAAAUUGGCAAUACAACUUCUGGACUCAAGGUGCAAGAGGCUCUGGGCAUGAAACACUGCUUAGUUGCUAAUGUAUUUAUGCAGCACUUGCAGCUGCCUGGGCUCAGCCAGCACUGCUGCUGAAUUAAAUACCCCUGGUAAAUACCUGGCAUUCACACUACUUUGAUGAAUCACACUCAAUUACUCAAGAAUCAGUACUUUAAUUUCUUGACCUUCCCAACAAACACUUGCAUGCUGAAAAUAACAAUAAGGAGCAGAAAUAGUUUUACUCUCAGCAGGGAUUUUUCUCUGCUUUAAUUUUUGAGGGAUUUCUAUUAGGAGCUUCAAUCUGAGGUCAAAAUUGCACAUCUGCAUAAUUUCUUUAUGGUUAAAACUGGUAGAAAUGUAACCAAUGCACUUUAUACUCUAGAGAUUAUUUGAGGAAACAACUAAAGAAAGAGACUUAGGAAAACACUGGAACAGUCAAGCACUCUGCCCAUUAGAAUAUUAUGGGCAUAUGAUGACAUAUUAUGGUACUAAGAGAAAAAAUGAAGUGUUCUCUGUGAUGCUCACUGAGACUGCUUGAUUAAGUUUGUUUCCUCAAAUCCAAGACUCUCUUCUCAUUAUCACAUUUCAACAGCUAGCAUAAAUAAGGUACAGUACAGGAACUGCAUGUGCCUCUAAUUAAGAUCUGAACACUCAAAUCAAUAUUUAGAAAUGCAACAUUUCUCCAAAACAAAAGUCACCAGGAUGUAAAUCAACACAGACUCUAUAAAGAAUAAAAACUUCCCAUGGGGCCCACUUCCCUGAUGCCCAAACUCCCAAAAAUAUUUUAUUGGCAAACCCCCCAAAACAGUUUUAUGACUCAGGAGACUCAUCUGAAACCUGAGGACUUCAUUUCUCAGACUAUUAGCACUGAAUUUCUAUUCCUUCAGGAGCAGCCAGGUUUGAUGUUGACAGGAAAGGGAGUCUCAGAAGGAAAAUCCACUCCAGACACAGGUUCAUGGCUACAGCAGCACUGCUGUACAGCACUACUGAAAGAAAGAGCACACCCAUGAGAACACA